rnacentral:rRNA from 1 species
GACGAACGCUGGCGGCGUGCUUAACACAUGCAAGUCGAACGAAGUGGCGAACGGGUGAGUAACGCGUAAUCAACUUGCCCUUCUGAGGGGGACAACAGUUGGAAACGACUGCUAAUACCGCAUACUGAAGGAGGGGAUUGCGUCUGAUUAGCUAGUUGGGGGGGUAACGGCCCACCAAGGCGAUGAUCAGUAGCCGGUCUGAGAGGGUGAACGGCCACAUGGGGACUGAGACACGGGCCCGCAUCCUACGGGAUGCAGCAGGGGGGAAACUUCCGCAAAGGGCGGAAGUCUGACGGAGCAACGGCGCGUGAGUGAUGACGGCCUUCGGGUUGUAAAGCUCUGUUAAUCGGGACGCGGUACCGGAAUAGAAAGCCACGGCUAACUACGUGCCAGCAGCCGCGGUAAUUC